CUGCCAUAUCUACUCAGUCUUCGACGCGACAUCGUGAGAGGAGGAAGUUUCAACCUCUUCUCUCUCGUGGAGGGGUGGUUUCUCAUUCUCUUUCUUAUAUCCUCUUUCAAAAUCGAUCGUUAUUAUUCGAGAAGUGAAAAAAAUUCGUGUAGAAAUAAAAAAAACUAAGGAAGAUAUCGAAACGUAUAUGCGUAGAAAUCGUGAAGAGUGAAAAUCAAAUUUAGUGCUGAUAAUAAUUAAUAAUCGAUUCGCGCGUGUUACGAUCGGCGUCGAUAAGAGGAAACGUUUCGAUCGUCAAAUUCACAUUUCUUUAUAUAUACAUAUAUAUAUAUAUAUAAAAUUCGCGUUAUAAAAUAGAUACGUUAAAGUUUCAUUUCGAUAUACAAAAACAUGGCUGUGGAAAGUGCAUCGUCGUCUUCAUCGGCAGUGCAAUUCGCUUUAGGCAACGAAGUAUCGCCACAUUGUCACUUUUUUAAAAGCUCUUUCGCGCGUUCACUCGUUAGAAACGUUCGUGAUUCGAAAUCUCUGGAUUAUGAAUUACACGACAACGAUACCAUCGUCGAAGAAACAUCCGAAUGCAACACCGACAAUAGGAAUAAUAAUUUUUUCUCCUUGCUCGACUUUCGUUACGAUAAAACCAUAACGACUACUAGUACAAUAACCACGAUGAAUUCGUCUCGUCGUAAUAACAACGAGAGAGAUACCAAAGUCGCCAUUUGUAAUACAUCAGUUCCUGUAGAAUUGGAUCAGUCGAACGUGGAUAUGAACGAGUUGGAAAGACUUCGAAAAGAAUGCCAAUCGUUGAAGGAAGAUAAUAGAAAAUUACAGAACGCAUUAGCAUUAAAUCAAGUGCCGCACGUCCAAGUGAUCGACAACGUUUUUCUUCAGACUCAAAUUGAGACGCUUCAGUGGCAACUUAAACAGAUCGAGUCAAACAAGCAAAUGUAUCGAUCGCUGAUGGAAGAAGUGGCGCGUUUCUUAGACCGAGCCCACAAGAGCCUGAUUAUUCUUCACGAGAAGAACAAUUCCAAGGACAAGAAUAAUGCUCGUGUACCACGUAGUCGUAGCGUUCAUGCAGUCGAUACGACGACUACGACCGAUUGUUCACCGAAUCGUGGCAAUUCGACAAAUUCAUCGUCGUCAUCCGGAUCAUCCCGUUUUACGAGAGCCAAAUCCGUAAAUCAGAUAUCAGGUGGUUCUGCUUUCCGCGAAUUCACGUGGUCUGUGUUACGUCGUAAUCAGAAUACCUGUACCGAUAACAAUACACCACCACCGUGCCGUGAGCAAUCUUAUCAGGAAGAAAAAAAGAUGGCCGAUGGUGUUACAUAUACGAAACCAAAACAAAUGGAAUUGAAUCCCGACGACGUGCCACCGGAAAAAUUGUCCCAAGAAGCUUUUAGGUUGAUGAGAACGGUACAAUCCUUAUUAGCGAUGAGAGAACCAGAUUUAUCAAGAAUGUCGCCAUUCGAGGACAGUGGAAUAUCACCGUCACCUACCAACAACCAUCAUCAUCACCACCACCACCAUCAUCACCAUCAUCACCGUCAGGAUAGUUCUUCCUUGUCCCAAAGAGAUAAUUUCGUAAACACGUCGAUGGUACAAGAGGACAAUUAUGAAAAUUGUAUUGGUGAUAGUGAACAAGAACGUGUCCGUGAUCAUGAACGUGAACGUGAACUUGGUAACGAGUCGAAUUGUUUACAGUUUGAUAGCCGAGAUAUUUGCCAAUUGAAAUUGAACUCGUGUAACACGGAUGUAAAUCGUAAUCUACAGAAUUUGUUGCCAGGUGUUAGAACGUCGGUAGAUGCUACGUCAUAUAAUUCGGCUAGCAGUAAAACUACGGAAGAGGAAGAACAGAUUAUUGUUUCCAGUCGUGAUAACGCGUUAGAAGAAACUCGUGAACACGUAUGUAAUACUAAUGGAAAUGUUACCUCGACUCCUAUCAAAUGUACCAAACGAUUAGAGAAAAAAGGUAUUAAUGGUAUAAGCGAUCUCAUGGUUAGAGCUGUCAGAGCCAAAUUAGCUAAUAGCGUGAGCAGCGCCGAGGAUGAAAGUGGAUUCUCAUCGAUGAGCUCUUUUCAAGAGGUCGGUUUACCAACGUCACCGAUCACACCUAUCAAGGGUUGUCACACGGAGGUUGGAUUACCAGAGAUCCCAAUACAAAAGGUUCCUCGCAGACGAUGGUCCUCCACAGCCAAUGAGAUACAGGCGCUUAUCAAACGACACAGUAGUGCCGCGAACUUUCCAACUGCACAAACCAAUAACGAAUCUUUAAGCGUUUGGGUUUAAGAUUUUUUUUCUUUCUCUCUCUCUCUCUCUCUCCCUUUUUUUUCUUUCUUUAGAUCGAUUUAUGACUUAAGCGUACAAUUUUUAUUUAUGUGUUUUUUUUUCUCUUUUUUUCUAUAUUUUUUUCUCUUUUUUUUGUAAAGUAAUUGACCCGUUUUGUUAGAGAAAGAGAGAGGGAGUGAGAGAUAGAGGGGAGAGAGAGAGAGAGAGAGAGAGAGAGAGAGAGAGAGAGAGAGAGAGAGAGAGACUAUUUCUUUGAAAAGUGAUUUAAAUCUAUUUAAAUGUAAAAUUAUUAUUAGGUGUAACAUUUGCUUUUAAUUAAAUUACUUAGAUUGUUGUGCUUAAGAAAGAAAGAAAGAGAUAGAGAUAGGCAUAGGGAUAGAGUAGAGAUAGAGAUAGAAAUAGGUAGAUAGAUAGAUAGAUAGAUUGAUUGAUUGAUUGAUUGAUUGAUUGAUUAAUAGAUAGAUAGUUUCUUUGAAAAAUUGCUUUUCUCAUUUCUUUUCUUAUGUUUCUGUAAAUAUACUUUUUUAUUAUUAUUAUUAUAGUAGAUACACACACAGAUAUAUACAUAUAUAUAUGUGUGUGUAAAAUUUCGACUGGAUUCCCAGAACAAUCGCAACAUUAAUAUUAUAUCUCUAUUGAUAUAUUUUCUUUACACACACACACACACACACACACAUACACAUAAGCAAUGUUACUACUACUUCGACUGCCACACAAGCUGUUAAAUCUUAUACAGUGUAUCUAAUUAUGGUGUUAAUGUGACCUAUAUUUAAUGGGAAAAAAUAAACAUAGGUUCCGUUCGUCCUAAUGAACCGUAAUUUAUAAUCUAAUAGAUAUAAAAAUAAAACUACGAAGGAAAUAUAAUCCUUGAUAAGUCAGAUGCGCGGGGAGAUAUAUCGAACGUGGAAUAUAUGAUAAUUCGAUUAUUAGAUAUUUAUUAGAUAUUAAUUGUCGAUGUUUCGUCGAAAAUUUUUGUCGGAUGUUCGAUCCGUUUCCCAAAGAGAUUCGAGAACCUCCAUGCUCUAUUUCACGCGUCAUAAAUCUUUUUUGGAAAAUUGCAAAAGCAACAAAAAAAAUGAAAAAAAUUAAGUAAAAUAAAAAUAAAAAGUAAAAAAAAAAGAGACGUAAGAAAGUAUAAUCCUUAGGGAAUAAUUAAUAAUAAUAAUAAUUAUAAUAAUAAUAGUAAUAAUAAUAAUAAUAAUCAUUCGAAAGUCAUUGUAGAAAAUUUGUACGAGAAUUUCGCAUGUGUACAAUUUAGAAUUAUUAGAAUUAUUAUUAAUCGUAAGAUAACCAUGAUAUAUCAAUUAAAAAUUGGUCGAGUCCGUUUUGGUCAAUUAUAUGGGAAACAAAUUAAGUCUACGAAGACAAUUAUUAUUCUUUUUCUUUUACUUUUUUUUGGGAGGGGAGGAUUAUCCAGUACUAUUGAAAUAUUUUAUUUCGUUUUUCCCGGUUUCUCUUUUUUUUUCUUUCUGUAAUUUUCUUUUAUUUUUUUCGACUUUUUUAUGAAUGGAUCUCCUUGCGAAUUACGAUUGAUCCUUCUGACGCAUGCAAACAGAGCGGGGAAUUUGAAGAUUUUUUUUCUUCUUUUUUUUUUCUUAAUUUUUAUCUAUGCACUUAAUCCACUGAUUCGGUUCAAGUAAUUAUCUGUAUAUUUCGAAUUUAUUUAAAGUAAAUGUGCAAGAUAUGACAAUGCGAGAUUUCAUACGACGACUUCCAUAUUUUAUAAUUAGGAUAUAUAUAUAUGUAUGUAUGUAUGUAUGUAUGUAUGUAUGUAUGUAUGUAUGUUCACGAAGUGUUUAAAUCUCUAUUAAAGCGUUACAUUGACUAUACAUGCGAUACAAGUAAUUAGGAAAAAUGAUGUGACGAUAUUAAUAACGAUUGAGCAUUUAAAUCAUAUGUGUAGCGUAUAUAUUGUAAUAAUUUUGUUCACAUUAUUUUUUUUGAAUUUUUCUAUCUUAAUGUUCUCACGUUUGUCAUUUGAAUUUAUUAAUUGAAUAGUAAAAUGGAAUUCUCCGCAAUAUAAUUAUAUAUAUAUAUUUUUUUUGUAUACCUCCCUCUUCGUUCUCUUAAAAAAGAAGGAAAGAGAAACAAGAAAAGUCCCUGUCGAAAGGCAACCCGUUAUACGAGAGUACUCAACGAGAAGCAUCUGAUUUUUAAACACUUCGUCGAGUACGAUUAUUUAACCUUUUUAUUGAUUACACAACGGUUUCAUCGACUCGUCAAAUUAUCGUAUAAGUAAAAAACUUUAUCAAAUCCAAUUUGUAUAAUAUCGCUGUUGAUAAAUUGAUUUUGUUUAAAUAUUUUUUCACAUAAUCAAAUACGGAAACAAAUCUAAAACAAUGAAUGAAUGAACGAGAAAAAAGAAUUGAAACGUUUUAACGGUUUUUGUUGAUAUAACGAUUUAAAAAUUUGAACGAAAAAAGCUUCGGAAAUCGACCGCUAGACGGAGCAUCUGUUGUAGCUAAUCUCGUACAGCAGCGCUACGAAACAGUUUGCAACAUGGCGUCCGAAACGAUCGAGACGCGCGGCUUUUCGUUCCGACAUUAUUCGCGGCAACGACAAUGGAAAAGUUAUCGAAUUGGAUCAAAAACGGUACGAAACGUCGCGGAAUAAGGAGACGGUUCGAAAUAUAUCAAUAUUUUAUCGCGUCAUGCGAACGAGAAAGGAUUAAUCCGAUAAUAUUAGUGGUAGCAAUCCGCGGACUCGAAUCAAAUAGUUCGUUAAUUUCGAUCGGUGGCGCGUCGAUCGCCAUCUCUCGUGUACUUGUAUUCGUUUAUCGUUCUUCGCCGGUUAAACACGACGCGCGCGCGCGCGCGUGUGUGUGUGUGUGUAGUGUGCGCGCGUGUGCAUACGCGUGCGCUUGUGCGAUAUUAACCGUCUCGUUGACAGUAACGCGGUUCGUUAAAAAAAACAAGCCGAAUCGAUUUUGUAUCUUUAUAGGGUUAUAAAACGAAAAAUAAAUGAUAUUAUUCUGCGACGAUCGACAAAGUAUAUCAUCGUUGUUAUCGAUGCGAAACGAGGAAAUAUCGGAAACAAUGAUAACGAGAGAAACAACGUGAAAAUAUCUAUCGGCAUCGUUAUUAUUGAUACAACAAUAAGAAGGUGGAUGACUGACCUUGUAUCGGAAGAUUCGAAGAAUCGUGAAAGAAAGAUGACGUCGUUCGAUCGAAGAUGAAAACAAAAGAGAACGAGAACGAUGAGAACGACAGGAGAACGAGACGAGAAAGAAAAGGAAGAUGGAAAAGAACGGAUGGUGCGGAAUGGGAGGACGAGACGCGAGUACGUAACGGCCGCACGCGCGUAAUAACGAUAAGGAAGAAGCCUAAGGCGACGUUCGUUACCGUACCGACCGAUACGACGACGGUCGGUAAGGUAGUUCGCGAUAGGUCGUUCGCGGCUCGUCGAAGAGAUCGCGCCAGGGAGGGAGCUACUUUUAGAUCGAUUUUCAAGAGUACGGGAACUAGAGCUACGCGGCUACAGCAGCGGGAGCAGCACAUCAGCGGCGACGGCAGAGCAGAACAGCAGAGUAGAGGAAGAUCAGAAUCAGAUCAGAUCAUAGUAGAGGAGAGUAGAGAGGAGAGGGAGAGGUAGAACCAACGUGCCGGCGCACGGGCCAAAGAGGUCCGCGUUUAUUUUAACGUAGUUCGAAGGGCGUUCGAACGGGCCGCGAUCGGUCGGUCGGUCGGACGUUCGGACGUUCGUUCGUUCGGUCGCUCGCUCGUUCGCUUGCUCGCUCGCUCGCUCGCUCGGAUGAGUCCGGCCUUCGGGACGAGGAGUCGCACGUCAAUAAGUUUUGAUCAUUUGUCUUCCUCGAAGAGAAGUUAUAUUAUAAUUCUCCUCGGAGUGUCACCUCGGGAGAGAGCUUGUCCGUUUUAUCGUCCUACGUCAGAAAUACGAACACUUGCCGUUUCUUCUUUUCUUCUUGUUUCCCUGCAGCUGUAGCUGCUCCGUUUGCUCCUCCAUAACCUGCUCCUGUUCCUCCAUCUCCUUGAUUUUAACGAGCUCCUUUCUCCGUCGUUCCUUAAAGCUCGGCUAGCGCUUAGUGCGCAUCACGCAGGCGCUUGGCCGCUAUCAUCAUUUCUCUCUCUCUUUCUCUGUCUCUAUCUCUAUCUCUCUCAUCCCUAUCUCGCAUGUGUUUCGGUCUCUCUUGCACUCCUUCGUUCGCGCAUACCACACGAAAUCCUCCUCCUCCGUCACCCCCUCCACCACCGCCGCCGUUACCACUACUACCGCCACCACCUCCUCCUCCUCCUCCUCCUCCAGCACCUCCUUCUCAGAGCUAACACCCCACUACCCCUUACCGAUACAAGCACGCUACCGCUACCCCACCACCAGCCACCAUUUACCACUACCAUUAUUACUACUGGCACCGGCAGCCCACCCACCCUCCCUCCCUCCCUCUUUCCCUCCCUCCCAACCACUUCUACGUCCCUCCGUCCGCUCGUCGGUCCGUCCGUCCGUCCGUCCGUCUGCUCGUUCGCUCGCUCGCUCGCUCGCUCGUCCGUCUGUCCGUCCGUCUGUCCGUCCGUCCGUCCGUCCGUCCGUCUGUCCGUCCGUCCGUCCGUCUCUCUCUUUCGCGCGCACACCUCCGGCCGCCAGCGCCGAACGUGUCCGUCCGUCCGUCCUUCUUUAUCCCGCACACCCGAGAAAGUUAUAAGUAAGUGUGUGUUGUAUCGACGAUAUUACCGCUGGUGCCUAUACUCCUCUCUUAGCCACGGGGGCCACGAGAUAUAUUAUACGGGAGUGUGCGCGCGUGUUUAAGACUAAUAAGUGUGUAGUAACGUUUUUACUGGCGCAGUGCGUGAAAUGAGCGACAAGGACCGUUCCUCGCCCACCCUCGUUGAAAACAGCCUCAAGUCGCUACUCGACCAGCCGAGUAUCUUUCCGCUGAUCGGUAAGUUGAGAGAUUACUUGAUGGACUGUUUCGAGGAAGAGGAAGGAAGAUUUGGUAUUAGACGAAAGAAAGAUAAUAUGGGAACCUUGACCAGAGCCAAUGCACAACAGGAAGAAUGAAAUUACGUUUGACCGAUAUACGUUUUCCGUUGCGACGAACCAUGUUAAAAUCGAGGAAGAGAGAAAAAGAAAGAGAGAGGGAGAGAGAGGGGGGAGAGAGAGAGAGAGAGACCGAGAAAUAUAUUCGAAUUAUGAAUAAACAAAGUUAUUAUUUCGAUUAUAUACGUACGUAUAUAAAGUAUAGGUAAUCAAAAAUUUCUUAGAAAACCGUAAGUACCAAGAUUUGUAGUUGCACGAAUUGAAAGAGAAAAGAAAAAUAAAUAAAUAAAUAAAUAAAUAAA